rnacentral:snRNA from 1 species
GGUCUUGUGGUAGCGAUCUGGCUGCGACAUAUGUCACCCCAUUGAUCGCCAGGGUUGAUUCGGCUGAUCUGGCUGGCUAGGCGGUGUCCCCUUCCUCCCUCACCGCUCCAUGUGCCUCCCUCCCGAAGCUGCACGCUCGGUUGAAGAGGACGACCUUCCCAUAAUAGAGGAGGACCGGUCUUCGGUCAAGGGUAUACGAGUAGCUGCGCUCCCCUGCUAGAACCUCCAAACAAGCUCUCAAGAUCAGAAUGACUUAUUUCUUAAAGCUUAGAUCUUACCAGUGUGCUACUCUGCCUAGGAACCUACCACAGACAAACGUA